rnacentral:rRNA from 1 species
GAUGAACGCUAGCGGCGUGCUUAACACAUGCAAGUCGAACGGUAAGGCCCUUCGGGGUACACGAGUGGCGAACGGGUGAGUAACACGUGGGUGAUCUGCCCUGCACUUCGGGAUAAGCCUGGGAAACUGGGUCUAAUACCGGAUAGGACCACUGCCUGCAUGGGUGGUGGUGGAAAGCUUUUGCGGUGUGGGAUGGGCCCGCGGCCUAUCAGCUUGUUGGUGGGGUGAUGGCCUACCAAGGCGACGACGGGUAGCCGGCCUGAGAGGGUGACCGGCCACACUGGGACUGAGAUACGGCCCAAACUCCUACGGGAGGCAGCAGUGGGGAAUAUUGCACAAUGGGCGCAAGCCUGAUGCAGCGACGCCGCGUGAGGGAUGACGGCCUUCGGGUUGUAAACCUCUUUCAGCACCGACGAAGCGCAAGUGACGGUAGGUGCAGAAGAAGGACCGGCCAACUACGUGCCAGCAGCCGCAGUAA